CGCCGCAUUCCCGCCGCUCCCACAAAUCCCCGAACCGAACUUAUCCCACUUUUCCCCCCUUUUCCUCCCCAUUUUUUCCCUUUUUCCCCAUUUUCCUCCCUUUUUCCUUCCCCCCCCUUUUCCCCUCAUUUUUUGCUUUUUCCUAUUUUUUCCCUUUUUCUCCCCCUUAUUCCCGUUUUUUUUCCCACAUUUCCCCCCCUUUUUCCCCAUCUUUCCCAUUUUCCCCUUUCUUCCCCAUUUUUUCCCUGCUUUUUUACCCUUUUCCCCCAUUUUUCCUUUUUCCCUCCUUUUCCCCCAUUUUUCCCUUUUUUCCACCAUUUUCCCCAUUUUUUCCCUGCUUUUUUACCCUUUUCCCCAUUUUUCCUUUUUCCCUCCUUUUCCCCCAUUUUCCCCUUUUUUCCACCAUUUUCCCCAUUUUUCCCUCCCCCCCUUUUCCCCUUUCCCCCUUUUUUCCCAUUUUCCUCCAUUUUUUCCUUUUCCCUCCUUUUUCCCCCAUUUCCCCCCUUUUUUCCUGCCUUUCCCCCCCUUUUCCCCCAUUUUUCCCUUUUCUCCCCUUUCCCCCUUUUCAUCCUCAUUUUUUCCCCCCAUUUUCCCCUUUUUCUCCCCCUUUUUCCCCUUUUUUUCAAUUUCCCCAUUUUCCCCAUUUUUUCCCUUUUUUCCCCCAUUUUUCCCAUUUUCCCCCUUCCCCCCCAUUUUUUUCCUUUUUUCCCUUUUUCUCCCCCUUUUUCCCUUUUUUCUCCAAUUUCCCCCCUUUUCCCCCUUUUCCCAUCUUUUCCCCCUUUUUCCCCAUUUUUCCCAUUUCCCCCCCAUUUUUCCGUUUUCCCUCUUUUUUUUUGCCAUUUUUUUCCUUUUCCUCCCCUCCCUUUUCCCCUCAUUUUUCCCCUUUUUUCCCAUUUUUUCCCCAUUUUUUUCUUUUUUCUUUCACCCCCUUUUCCCCUUUUCUCCCUUUUUUCCCCCAUUUUCCCCAUUUUUCCGCAUUUUCCCCAUUUUUUCCCAUUUUUCCCCAUUUCCCCCCUCCCCUUUGCCCAAAUUUCCCCUUUCUCUCCCCAAAUCCGCUCCCUCCCAUCCCGAUUCCAGCCCGGAUUCCCUCGGAAUUCCCGGGAAUUUGGGGGGUCCCGGGUCCCGUUUUUGGGGGAAUUCCCGGGAAUUUGGGGGGUCCGGGUCCCGUUUUUUGAGAAUUCCCGGGAUUUUGGGGUCCCGGGUCCCGUUUUUGGGAUUUCCAGGGAAUUCCCGGGAUUUGGGGGGUCCCGGGUCCCGUUUUUAGGAAUUUCCAGGGAAUUCCCGGGAUUUGGGGGGUCCCGGGUCCCGUUUUUUGGGAAUUCCCGGGAUUUGGGGGGUCCCGGGUCCCGUUUUUGGGGGAAUUCCCGGGAUUUUGGGGUCCCGGGUCCCGUUUUUGGGAUUUCCAGGGAAUUCCCGGGAUUUGGGGGGUCCCGGGUCCCGUUUUUUGGGAAUUCCCGGGAUUUGGGGGGUCCCGGGUCCCGUUUUUGGGGAAUUCCCGGGAUUUGGGGGCCCCUCCCCUCCCCCCCCGAUUUCGGUUUCGAUUCCCGCGCUCGGCUCAGGCCCCGCCCCCUCCCCUUGGCCCCGCCCCCUCCCCGAACGGACCAAUCAGCACUCGGGGGCGGGGCCUGA
rnacentral:lncRNA from 1 species